rnacentral:rRNA from 1 species
AUUGAACGCUGGCGGCAGGCCUAACACAUGCAAGUCGAACGGUAACAGGAAGCAGCUUGCUGCUUCGCUGACGAGUGGCGGACGGGUGAGUAGUGUCUGGGAAACUGCCUGAUGGAGGGGGAUAACUACUGGAAACGGUAGCUAAUACCGCAUAACGUCGCAAGACCAAAGAGGGGGACCUUAGGGCCUCUUGCCAUCGGAUGUGCCCAGAUGGGAUUAGCUAGUAGGUGGGGUAACGGCUCACCUAGGCGACGAUCCCUAGCUGGUCUGAGAGGAUGACCAGCCACACUGGAACUGAGACACGGUCCAGACUCCUACGGGAGGCAGCAGUGGGGAAUAUUGCACAAUGGGCGCAAGCCUGAUGCAGCCAUGCCGCGUGUAUGAAGAAGGCCUUCGGGUUGUAAAGUACUUUCAGCGGGGAGGAAGGGAGUAAAGUUAAUACCUUUGCUCAUUGACGUUACCCGCAGAAGAAGCGCCGGCUAACUCCGUG